GUGGGGAAUAUUGGACAAUGGGGGGAACCCUGAUCCAGCCAUGCCGCGUGUGUGAAGAAGGCCUUUUGGUUGUAAAGCACUUUAAGCGAGGAGGAGGCUACCGAGAUUAAUACUCUUGGAUAGUGGACGUUACUCGCAGAAUAAGCACCGGCUAACUCUGUGCCAGCAGCCGCGGUAAUACAGAGGGUGCAAGCGUUAAUCGGAUUUACUGGGCGUAAAGCGCGCGUAGGUGGCCAAUUAAGUCAAAUGUGAAAUCCACGAGCUUAACUUGGGAAUUGCAUUCGAUACUGGUUGGCUAGAGUAUGGGAGAGGAUGGUAGAAUUCCAGGUGUAGCGGUGAAAUGCGUAGAGAUCUGGAGGAAUACCGAUGGCGAAGGCAGCCAUCUGGCCUAAUACUGACACUGAGGUGCGAAAGCAUGGGGAGCAAACAGGAUUAGAAACCCUAGUAGUCC
rnacentral:rRNA from 1 species